UCUGGCUCAGAACGAACGCUGGCGGCAGGCUAACACAUGCAAGUCGAACGCACCGCAAGGUGAGUGGCAGACGGGUGAGUAACGCGUGGGAACCUCCCUUUGGUACGGAAUAACUUCGGGAAACCGAAGCUAAUACCGUAUAAGUCCUUCGGGAGAAAGAUUUAUCGCCAAGGAUGGGCCCGCGUUGGAUUAGCUAGUUGGUAGGGUAAAAGCCUACCAAGGCGACGAUCCAUAGCUGGUCUGAGAGGAUGAUCAGCCACACUGGGACUGAGACACGGCCCAGACUCCUACGGGAGGCAGCAGUGGGGAAUAUUGGACAAUGGGGGCAACCCUGAUCCCAGCCAUGCCGCGUGAGUGAAGAAGGCCUUAGGGUUGUAAAGCUCUUUUGGCGGGGACGAUAAUGACGGUACCCGCAGAAUAAGCCCCGGCUAACUUCGUGCCAGCAGCUGC
rnacentral:rRNA from 1 species